rnacentral:pre_miRNA from 1 species
CAAGUACUCCCUCCGUCCGAAAAUACUUGUCAUCAAAAUGGAUAAAAAAGAUGUAUCUAGAACUAAUAUACAUCUAGAUACAUCCCCUUUUAUUCAUUUUGAUGAAAAGUAUUUCCGGACGGAGGGAGUACUAC